UUCUCACUCACACACACCUUCACACUCUCACAUUUUUCUCUUGCCUGAUGCCCCGAUCCCCUUUCUUCUUUCCUUGUUCAAUCCGCUCACUCCAAAAUUGCUGCCACCGGAUGAGCCGUCCCAAUAGUUUUCCCUCUUGAUUUGUUGCCUUGAGCCUGCUCCUGCUCAGCUGCAGGCAUCCCCGCAGCUCAACUCGUUGUUGCGGCCCCAGCCCACAUGGGUGACUGUCUACGGCGGCUUGUCUCCUGGGCCGGUAAACAGCGAUGGAUGUGUAGCAGGGUCCGAGGAGCAUCUGCGGAAGGGAGGAGGCGAGAUCGUCGAUCUUCAUGGUGUCGUUUCCCUCGGCGUCCGUGCAGGUGAUGUGGGCAUGGAUCUCGUCUCCCGCAGCCAGCAUGGAUCCAGCUUGAGUAUGAGGAUGCUGGCGACGUUGUCUUCCCCAAGCGCCGAGCUAUCCGCAUCGUCGUUGUUCACACUCAAGGCAGCCCAACACCAACACAUCAUCAACAUCCUCCACAGCGUCAGUAUUCUUAGACCUACAGAGCCGAUAACAAUCUAGGAGUGUCAACAGAGGAUACUGGGGCGCUUGCAACUAUCGGAGGAAGAUGAUGUCCAAGCGUCGAUCGCUGGAGGAAGACGAUGUUGAAGGUGGGUUCUGAUGUGCAGCACGUGCUAAACCUGAUUUGAUGCUAGCUUGCACGGUGAUACGUUGGAGGUAGUUUGAUCUCUUAGUAUGUGCACAUGGUACUUACUGGGAGUGGUGUGAUUGCUUCACAGAGCCGAUGACAAUCGAUGAGUGUCAACACAGGAGAUUGUGGCGCUUGCAACUAUUGGAGGAAGAUGAUGUCCAUGUGUCGAUCCCUGGAGGAAGAUGAUGCUGAAGGUGGGCUCUUAACAUGUACCGCGUGCUGAACUUGAUUUGAUGCUAGCUCACACGUUUGGUUUUCUCGUGCUGCCACCAUUGCUAACCUGAUUGCAAAAGCUCAUAAAACAGAACCUUGCCUUCUCGCGGUCUCACCUUGCCUUGAUCGCUCAAGAUAGCAAACAUCGCCAACUUGGUACAACAUAUCUGUCUAAAGUUAGACUUUGUUCCCAUGGUGUUGUUGCAUCAAAAAUUCAGAUUGUCUAUAUCUUUCUUAACCCCACAGUUGUGAUGCUUUAGUUGUAGUUACAUGUGUUUCUGUAGAGGCAUCCUUCCAUUGAUGUAUAAUUUCUUUAAUGGCAUCCUUCCAUUGAUGUAUAAUUGGAAUAGUUAUUGUGUUCAUAGUUCUUUUGGCCGAUGGCAGCUAUCUAUAGAGAUUUUCUGAAAAGGAAUAUCCUAAGAGCUGGAUCUUAACUGGCUAUUCUUGCA